AGAACAAUGGCGUAGUUGGUUGUCGCAUCUGUCUCAUGUAAAUUGAAAAAGGUGCCCGGUUCGAACCUGGGUUGUUCAU